rnacentral:rRNA from 1 species
GAUGAACGCUGGCGGCGUGCCUAAUACAUGCAAGUCGAGCGAAUGGAUUAAGAGCUUGCUCUUAUGAAGUUAGCGGCGGACGGGUGAGUAACACGUGGGUAACCUGCCCAUAAGACUGGGAUAACUCCGGGAAACCGGGGCUAAUACCGGAUAACAUUUUGAACCGCAUGGUUCGAACUUGAAAGGCGGCUUCGGCUGUCACUUAUGGAUGGACCCGCGACGCAUUAGCUAGUUGGUGAGGUAACGGCUCACCAAGGCAACGAUGCGUAGCCGACCGGAGAGGGUGAGCGGCCACACUGGGACGGAGAACCGGCCCAGACUCCUACGGGAGGCACCAGUAGGGAAUCUUCCGCAAUGGACGGAAGUCUGACGGAGCAACGCCGCGUGAGUGAUGAAGGCUUUCGGGUCGUAAAACUCUGUUGUUAGGGAAGAACAAGUGCUAGUUGAAUAAGCUGGCACCUUGACGGUACCUAACCAGAAAGCCACGGCUAACUACGUGCCAGCAGCCGCCGUAA